GAUGAACGCUAGCUACAGGCUUAACACAUGCAAGUCGCGGGGUAACAUCUGGUAGAGCUUGCUCUUCCAGGAUGACGACCGGCGCACGGGUGAGUAACGCGUAUCCAACCUGGCCCAUACCACGGGAUAGCCCGUCGAAAGGCGGAUUAAUACCGUAUGAGGUCACAUGACGGCAUCAGAGUGUGACGAAAGGUUUGGCGGACAGGGAUGGGGGUGCGUCCGAUUAGCUUGUUGGCGGGGUAACGGCCCACCAAGGCUACGAUCGGUAGGGGUUCUGAGAGGAAGGUCCCCCACAUUGGAACUGAGACACGGUCCAAACUCCUACGGGAGGCAGCAGUGAGGAAUAUUGGUCAAUGGGCGCAGGCCUGAACCAGCCAAGUCGCGUGAGGGAAGACGGUCCUACGGAUUGGUAAAACCUCUUUUGUCGGGGAGUAACGUGCGGGACGCGUCCCGUAUUGAGAGUACCCGAAGAAAAAGCAUCGGCUAACUCCGUG
rnacentral:rRNA from 1 species